CAGUGGGAUUUUCUCUAAUGAUACUAAGAAAUUCAAACACACACACACACACACACACACACACUCUCUCUCUUUUCAGUAAUCAUAUUAUUGAUAGUGCUAUUGGAAUUGUUAUUUUAAGAUUCAUCCAUUGGGAGUUCCUUAUUUUCAGCCUACAAAAAGAAAAAAAAUAUGUAAUGUAGAUUAGAUUAAGCAAAAAUUCUACAGUCUUAAAUUUGAUUUUGAAGUAUUAGUAUGACCUCAUGAUAAUUUCAUCUUUUAAAAAAACCUAUUUUCUACCUCUGCCCACUGAAACAUGUCUAAAAACAAAGGUCAACCCAGGAUCGAUGUGUAUUCCCUAAAUGCCACUAAGAAAUGACUAACAUCAUGUCUGGGAAGGAAAUGUACAAAAUGAGCCUGGAUCUUCAUGUACCAUAGAGAAAACAUAACAUCAAAGACCAUUGAAAGUGUGUAGAAAGGACUCAGGAGCCAUCCUGAGAAGCCUCUUACUGGCCAGAGAUGGGUCAAUUUAAAUAUCAGUAAAGAUAAUGGCAAUAGAUUGAAAGACAUCAGAUACAUUUAAAUUUCUUAGUUAAUAAUGGCUAUAGAAAUAAAAACAAUUGGCCACUUUUGACCAGUGAGUUAUUUAACUAUUUUGAAAACUGGUAAAUAAAGAAAAAAGAUUAAGCAUUUAUUCUGACUUUUCUAUAUGACCAAUACUUCAAGUCAACCAAGUAAUGUAUGAGAAUUUUCUCUUUAUGGAAGGAUUCCAGGUAACAAAUUUAAAGAGUAUGAUAGAAUUAUAACAUCACCUUUCUGCUACUCCUAAUGAUAUAGUGUAUCUAAAUAAUAGUCAUCAAUCACUGCUGACUUCACGAAAAAGGAGACAAUUAGACAUUUUAUAUGCCCUAAUAGAGGCUCACAGCACCAUUUAUGCAGUUGACUUGCCAAAUGAAUCCAAGGUGAAUGUGAUUGAGCCUCUAGAUCCAACUAAUAAUUUGCAGAAAACACAUGGGACAGAAAAGCAUGAUACGUGAAACCACAAGGAUCCAAUUAGCAAAUUCUUACGGGGGAAAUUCUAUAGGAAAAUAAUGUGUUUAAAAAACAAAAGAGUAAGAGGAAAAUUGAAUCUAUACAUUAAAGGAAAUUUAAAUGACAUAUCAACCAAUUUUAGUGUAUGGAACUUAUUUUGAUGCUGAUUUGAAGAUAUUUUAUAAAUGUAUCAAAAUUAUAAGAUAAUCAGAGACAUCUGUAUACAGACAUUUAAUAUUAAGGAACUAUCAUUAGGUAGGAUAAUGAUAUUGUGCUCAUUCGUAAAACAAUAUUUCUAUUUUAGAGAUAAAGAAUUAACAUUUUACGGAUGAAAUAAGAUGAGGCCCGAGAUUCAUUUGAAAUAAUCCAGGAUAAUAUUCUGUUUACUUAAGGGACACAAAGUAAAUAAAUGUUUUUGAAACUGAAUUGGAUUGAAGUGGAUCCAGAUUUUCACAGGAAAAAAGUUUCCUUUUCCCUUAGUUCUCCUUACACACCUGGCUUUGCAGGAAAAGAAAUUAGCAUUUGGAAACACACAUCUGCCUCAGCCACAGAGGGAAGGAGCUCUGUGUCAUAAAAGUGACCACAGCUGAGCCGAUCUCGCCCUAUGCCAGUCCACGUGGUAAUUUUGGAAGGGCCCUGGGAUAUCUGACCUUAUGAUGGUAGAAAAGGCUUGGACUACAUGUUUGGUUUGAAGUUUGAAAAUCUCAGUCCUUCCCCAACCAUCAAAAAUAUUUACCUCCCUCCCUUGUCUCACAAUCAUCUAAGCUGCCUCCUUGAAUUGACUCCCACACCUGUUCAUCAUAGAAGGAAAAAAAUAAAAGCAAAUGCCAUAUAAAAUCUCUCUUCUUCAACAAGGUCUUCUGUUUUGAAAUACUGAAACAGUUCCUGUUCUAUUACCUCACCAGCUGUGGCCUUUUAUCUCCUAAAGGGAAUAGCUGACGUCUUACCAGUCAAAGUCAUUGUGCUUACGGACGCCAUAAAUAUCUCCUUUAAAUCCUACUUGAUAAAUUUCCCUCUGAUUGGUAAAGCAGAUACUGUAACAUGCAAAGGGGGAGCAGGAGAGUCUUUGAUGAUGUUAAACUAAGCCCCUGGAGAUAUCCCAGCUCUUCCUCCAGAAUUUUACUUUCCAACAACUGGAGUCAACAAAUACGGUAGAAAAUGUUGUCUGGAUUAUCUACUCCCAUUAUUUUUUUUUAAACUGGUUUUCAAUGAUGGGCAACCUAAAAUUUACUCACACAGAACACAAAACAGUUGAAUUUGUUAAAAGUCCAAAAUGUGCUUUUGUACUUUUGUAAAAUGGGAAUGUGCUUCUUGUACAAAUCACAAUAUGCUUUCUAGACCACAACCUAAAAAGGAAAGAAAAAAAUCCUGUGAAUAAAAAAUAAAACAAGGACUUUCAGUUUUCUACAUGCAUUUGAAAUGACUUUAUCUCUGACUCAUGUUCUACUUUAUUUUUGAUUGGGAAGACCUGUUCCUAUACUGUAAUUUUUUUUUAAUAAUAAGUUUCCAUUUGUAACUAUUAGUUGGUCUUUCCACAAAAUUGGUUUGCUGGAAAGGACUGAGAAGAGAAAGAGCAUUCCUGGAUCAAAUGGAACUGAUGAGUGUGGAAGUCCUUGAACUUGACCAAGCAUUGUCAAUUCUCAUAGUCUGACC